CUGGGUCAAGUUUACACCCAAGGCAUUUCAACCAGCACAGAGGUGGGCCAGAGCAGGUGUUUGAGCAGGAGAGUGUGGAGGUGUCUGAAUCAACACGGGUUAUACUAACGUUGAUGGAUUCAGAGUGUGACAGAAGGACUCUGCCAACAGCAAUAAUCAUCCCAUCACCUAGGUUCUGCUUUUUGUCAAAUGGGGCCGGAGUUCAUAAACAGCCAGCAGCGCCAUUCCCAGCAGCUCCCUCAACGUCGGAAUUCCGGGCUUUCCGAUUGGCCUGAGCCACCAAUUGCUCAUUGGCUCCUCCCUGUAGGACGGAUGGCCAUGCUGACAGCCAAUGGGGCCACAGCAGGAUCCUGUCCCUCAGGGAGAACAGGAGCUAGAGGCCUUGCCGUUUUGUAAGGCUCAAGUGCGCCCCCUAGGGGGAAGGAUUAGUAUCACGUUUCAUGAGGACGUUGUUACUGCUAGAUAAGGCAUGCAUCAAUUAAAACCUAAAUUGUAACCUAACUUGAAUAAGUGUGCCACAUGUGUUCUUAAUGCUGUGCUUUAUCAUUUAGUUCAUGCUAUAUAUUCAUUUAUUUCAUAAACAUGUGGUUUGGUUUAGCCUGACCUUUUGACAAUGUGUGAUCCAAUGUCCAUGUCAUAGCAUCAUAUACAUGUGCAUGUACUGCUAUGCCACUCAGAUUAUCCCUCAGAGAACACUAAAUUAUUUUUUUUAUCAGCAUGCUAUUCACAAUCUUGUGUCAAUGUGUUUAGUGUGGUGUCUUGGUUGGGGCUUGUGACUGGUUAG
ensembl:lncRNA